GCCUUAGAUACAUGAAAGUUGAGGACACCUACUAUCCCCAUGGAGCCCAGGUGGGGCUGGGUGUCUGCUGUUUGUACAGCCCGUGGGCUUGUGUUGCUUUGGGCAUCCCUGAGCCUGAAUUCUUGCAGUACACUCGGUGCCUGUUUCCUAAUCUGCAAAACUGGAAUGAUGUUAAACAUCCCGCAGUGCAUUCCAUGGUGCAUCCUUGCCUAGAAUUGAGUGGAAGCAAGUCCAUCUCAGAAGGGACAUAACUGAUGAGGAAUGGCUUUCCAGACUCUGAAGGGCAGAGAGAGCACCAGCCUGGGUUAGAGAAAGGUGAGGGGUUGGGUAGGGGGUGGGCUGCCUUCUUCCCCAAAUAAGGAACCUUCCUGA